rnacentral:rRNA from 1 species
ACCGGCGCACGGGUGAGUAACACGUAUGCAACCUGCCCUCUUCAGGGGGACAACCUUCCGAAAGGGAGGCUAAUCCCGCGUAUAUCGGUUUCGGGCAUCCGAGAUCGAGGAAAGAUUCAUCGGAAGAGGAUGGGCAUGCGGCGCAUUAGCUAGACGGCGGGGUAACGGCCCACCGUGGCGACNAUGCGUAGGGGUUCUGAGAGGAAGGUCCCCCACACUGGUACUGAGACACGGACCAGACUCCUACGGGAGGCAGCAGUGAGGAAUAUUGGUCAAUGGGAGAGAUCCUGAACCAGCCAAGCCGCGUGAGGGAAGACGGCCCUAUGGGUUGUAAACCUCUUUUGUCGGANAACAAAACCCGGGACGUGUCCCGGACUGCGUGUAUCCGAAGAAAAAGCAUCGGCUAACUCCGUGCCAGCAGCCGCGGUAAUACGGAGGAUGCGAGCGUUAUCCGGAUUUAUUGGGUUUAAAGGGUGCGCAGGCGGAAGAUCAAGUCAGCGGUAAAAUUGAGAGGCUCAACCUCUUCGAGCCGUUGAAACUGGUUUUCUUGAGUGAGCGAGAAGUAUGCGGAAUGCGUGGUGUAGCGGUGAAAUGCAUAGAUAUCACGCAGAACUCCGAUUGCGAAGGCAGCAUACCGGCGCUCAACUGACGCUCAUGCACGAAAGUGUGGGUAUCGAACAGGAUUAGAUACCCUGGUA